UGGAGGAGGCCGGAUCCUGGGCUGUGUCCCGGUGCCCUGUGAUCCCGGUCUGCGCUGUUGGAUUCGCUCUCGGCCAUGCAGCCCCCU
rnacentral:pre_miRNA from 1 species